UUAUUAUAAUAAUCUGUAUUGUUUUAAUUUACAAAUGGUUUUUCAACAUAAUGACUAGUAUAAUUACAUUAGUUCAUUAAUGUCGUGUUUUAAAUUAAUCUUUUUUUUUUUCCAUUUCUUUUCCAUUUAAUUUUUUUUAUGGCAGAUAAUGUUGUUUUGUGAAUGAACAUUAAACAGUAUAAAGAUUUAGUCAAGUAAAAGGAAAUGAGGCGGAAGAAGUAUUGUGUUUAUUCCAGCUAUAGCUAUCAAAAGGGGAAGAGUUGGAAUGAGAACGAAUAAAAUCAUUCUCAAUGAGUGAACAAAAUUCCUUACCGGAAAUUCAGAACUGCUGAUUCUCUAUCCGCAAACAUGAUGAUUGGAGGUGCUAACCGUUCAUCUUUGCCACAUAUCCGGGGUCCUGAUCCUUGUCCAAAAGAAUCCACUAAUUCAAGGUGUCCUGAUACGCAACUAGAAAAAUAAUAUACUUUAUAGGAACAUAAAUGUAUGUAUUUAUAUAAUAUAAUGUAUAAUAACAA